rnacentral:rRNA from 1 species
GAUCAUGGCUCAGGAUGAACGCUAGCGACAGGCUUAACAGAUGCAAGUCGAGGGGCAGCAUGAUUUGUAGCAAUACAUAUUGAUGGCGACCGGCGCACGGGUGAGUAACGCGUAUGCAACUUACCUAUCAGAGGGGGAUAGCCCGGCGAAAGUCGGAUUAAUACCCCAUAAAACAGGGGUCCCGCAUGGGAAUAUUUGUUAAAGAUUCAUCGCUGAUAGAUAGGCAUGCG